AGAAUCAACGCUGGCGGCGUGCCUAACACAUGCAAGUCGAACGCGACUGGGGACUUCGGUUCCCAGUUGAGUGGCGAACGGGUGAGUAACACGUGGGUGACCUACCUUCGAGUGGGGGAUAACGUUCCGAAAGGAACGCUAAUACCGCAUGACGUUCCGGGUUUGAACACCUGGAAACCAAAGCCGGGGACCGCAAGGCCUGGCGCUAGAAGAGGGGCCCGCGCCUGAUUAGCUAGUUGGUGAGGUAACGGCUCACCAAGGCGACGAUCAGUAGCCGGCCUGAGAGGGCGGACGGCCACACUGGGACUGAGACACGGCCCAGACUCCUACGGGAGGCAGCAGUGGGGAAUUGUCGCAACGGGCGCAAGCCUGACGACGCAACGCCGCGUGGAGGAUGAAGGUCUUCGGAUUGUAAACUCCUGUUGAUCGGAAGAAUGGACUCCGGAUGAAUACUCCGGAGUAAUGACGGUACCGAUUGAGGAAGCCAACGGCUAACUCUAGCGUCAGCAGCCGCGGUAA
rnacentral:rRNA from 1 species